rnacentral:rRNA from 1 species
CGAGUUAUUCUCAGUGGCGAGGUUAACCGUAUAGGGAGCCGUAGGAACCGAGUCUUAAUAGGGCGCCAUAGUCGACUGGGAAUAGACCCGAAACCGGGCGAUCUAUCCAUGACCAGGGUGAAGGUUGGGUAACACCAACUGGAGGCCCGAACCGAAAUCUGUUGAAAAAAGAUUCGGAUGAGUUGUGGAUCGGAGUGAAAGGCUAAUCAAGCUCGGAGAUAGCUGGUUCUCCUCGAAAGCUAUUUAGGUAGCGCCUCUCGUAUCACUCCUGGGGGUAGAGCACUGUUUCGGCUAGGGGGUCAUCCCGACUUACCAAACCGAUGCAAACUUCGAAUACCAGGAAGUGUCAGCGAGGGAGACAGACGGCGGGUGCUAACGUCCGUCGUCAAAAGGGAAACAACCCAGACCGCCAGCUAAGGUCCCCAAGUGACAGUUAAGUGGGAAACGAUGUGGGAAGGCACAGACAGCCAGGAGGUUGGCUUAGAAGCAGCCAUCCUUUAAAGAAAGCGUAAUAGCUCACUGGUCGAGUCGGCCUGCGCGGAAGAUAUAACGGGG